rnacentral:rRNA from 1 species
UGCGUAGGCGGGCUAAUAAGUCAGUGGUGAAAUCCCACAGCUUAACUGUGGAACUGCCUUAGAUACUGGUUAUCUUGAGUUUUAGUGAAGUAGAUAGAAUGUGUAGUGUAGCGGUGAAAUGCAUAGAUAUUACACAGAAUACCGAUUGCGAAGGCAGUCUACUAACUAACAACUGACGCUAAUGGACGAAAGCGUGGGGAGCGAACAGGAUUAGAUACCCUGGUAGUCC